rnacentral:rRNA from 1 species
AGUGAACGCUGGCGGUAGGCCUAACACAUGCAAGUCGAACGGCAGCACAGUAAGAGCUUGCUCUUACGGGUGGCGAGUGGCGGACGGGUGAGGAAUACAUCGGAAUCUACUUUUUCGUGGGGGAUAACGUAGGGAAACUUACGCUAAUACCGCAUACGACCUACGGGUGAAAGCAGGGGAUCUUCCGACCUUGCGCGAUUGAAUGAGCCGAUGUCGGAUUAGCUAGUUGGCGGGGUAAAGGCCCACCAAGGCGACGAUCCGUAGCUGGUCUGAGAGGAUGAUCAGCCACACUGGAACUGAGACACGGUCCAGACUCCUACGGGAGGCAGCAGUGGGGAAUACUGGACAAAGGGCGCAAGCCUGAUCCAGCCAUACCGCGUGGGUGAAGAAGGCCUUCGGGUUGUAAAGCCCUUUUGUUGGGAAAGAAAAGCAGCAGGUUAAUACCCCGCUGUUCUGACGGUACCCAAAGAAUAAGCACCGGCUAACUUCGUG